AAUAGAUACCCGGGUAGUCCACGCCGUAAACGAUGAGUGCUAGACGUCGGGGGGGUUGCCUCUCGGUGUCGCCGCUAACGCAUUAAGCACUCCGCCUGGGGAGUACGGCCGCAAGGUUAAAACUCAAAGGAAUUGACGGGGGGCCCGCACAAGCGGUGGAGCAUGUGGUUUUAAUUCGAAGCAACGCGCAGAACCUUACCAACCUUUGACAUGGGACGUUUGGGUCGCAGAGAUGCGACUCUUCAGUUCGGCUGGCGUCCACACAGGUGCUGCAUGGCUGUCGUCAGCUCGUGUCGUGAGAUGUUGGGUUAAGUCCCGCAACGAGCGCAACCCUCAUCUUCAGUUGCCAGCGGUUCGGCCGGGCACUCUGAAGAAACCGCCGGUGACAAGCCGGAGGAAGGCGGGGAUGACGUCAACGUCCUCAUGGCCCUUACAGGUUGGGCUACACACGUGCUACAAUGGCGGUGACAGUGGGCAGCGAAGGGGCGACCCGGAGCUAAUCCCCAAAGCCGUCUCAGUUCGGAUUGCACU
rnacentral:rRNA from 1 species